rnacentral:rRNA from 1 species
CACGUAGGGGACGAGCGUUGUCCGGAUUCAUUGGGCGUAAAGCGCGCGUAGGCGGCUCGGCAAGUCGGUCGUGAAAUGCCGGGGCUCAACCCCGGGACUGCGUCCGAUACUCUCGAGCUGGAGGCAGGUAGGGGAGAUCGGAAUUCCUGGUGUAGCGGUGAAAUGCGCAGAUAUCAGGAAGAACACCUAUGGCGAAGGCAGCUCUCUGGGACGGUACUGACGCUGAGACGCGAAAGCGUGGGGAGCGAACAGG